rnacentral:misc_RNA from 1 species
GGAAAAGUAACCGUUGAAGUUUGUUUACAAACAUGAGCUGAAAGCUAGGCUUUAAGUUAUGAUUUGAUUGAUUAAAAUACUAUUAUCUUGAAAGAUGAUUGACCCUUGGAUAACUGAUGAGCCUUAUUGCUGUGAUAUAAGUAUUCCUGAAUGUAACAUUAACAAUGAUGAUCCAUUUGAAGUCAUUCGCUUGAGGAGGCUUCUUGAAAACAGUAUUUUGAAAGUAGAAAAAGAAAAUCUGGAAUUAAUACAGAAAGAAAAGAAAAGAGUGCCUUGUAAAAAUAAUACAUCCAAAAGUAGGGAUAUUAAUGCUGCUCAAAAUGGGCAGAAAUCCUCUUCGUCACUGAAGGAAUUACCUGCUGCACAAAACAGACCUAAAUCUGUUGGAAAAUCAUUUAUUUUGGAUAGUGUUAAAAAAAAUUCAUCUGUAUAUUCAUCAAGUUUGCAAGAUGAUCAUGCAGAAUUUAUUACGGAUGGGGAUCCCAAUUAUAGCAGAAGCAGGAUUCAGCAAUCAAAUGUUACAUUCUUAAAUCGAUUUUCAUCAUCUCUUCUCCUUAAUAGUAUGAAGAAGAGAGUUCUUCAAGCUGAAUCUAAAGCUGUAUAUACUCCAUGUGCUGUACCAUUAGCACUUCCUGAUACAAAAAAGAAUCCCGUUUUCAGGAAAGGAAAGGAAGCAAAUUCAUCAAAAAAUUUGGAAAACUAUACCAACAACAAUGCUGUUUAUCAUUUUACUUCUAUGCAAUAUCCAGAAAAGAAGCUGACUUUUCAGACUUUACCUAGUAUCAGUAUUGAUGGUAAAGCUAAUUUUAGUGCAAAAUCUUUUGAAACGUCUGAUUUUCAUUUUACUGAACAGAAAGAUUUUUUUUGUGGAAGUGGUAUGAGGACUAGAUUCUUGCCUAUGUCUGCAGAAAAUAAUUGUGUGCCUCAGUCUUCUUCUUCUAAUCAACAACUACUUUCUGUGCAUUGUAAUAAAAGUCAGCAGACAUUAUAUCCAGAGUGUCUUAAACAGUCAGUUCAUACUCAGACUGAUAUUAAAGAAUUAAGGGAAUCAGAGGAAGUGGAUAAGAAUAUGAUACAGAAUUUGAUUGAAGAAAUUUUGCAAACUAUGCAGUUUCAAUCCAAUUUACUGGAGUGUUCUUCUGAUAAAAUCAAAAGGAAAGCCGGUAUUAUAGAAACAGAAAGGGAAAGCAUAUCAUUUGAAAUGCUUGAUAAAUCUGUGUCAGUCAAUUGCAGUUCUCCAACCUUUAUAAAGGAAAAUUCUUUGCAUAUAGAAAGAAAAUCGAUGUGUACACAAACAGAAAAUGAUAAGUAUGGGAUACAGGAAGACAAAGAAAGAUUAAAAAUUCUUAUAAAAGAAGUAUUACAAGAUCUGAAACCUAAGUAUGGUUCUGAUUCAUUACCUGAAUUAAAAGAAGUUACUGUAUUCAACAAGAUACAUACAGAAAUUCAGACAGAGGAAAAACUGACAGCUGCUUCGAUAAUAAUAGAUAAUGCUUCAAAAGCCACUCAGGUACAUUUGUUGGAGACAGAUUCUGACAAACAUGUAUAUUCAAAUCAAACAAAAGAAAAGCAAAAUGAAGGUUUUACAGAGAGAUCUGGUGAUGUGGCUCCUGAACCAGUUGGAAACCUAAAUAAACUUGAAAGUAUUUUGAAACAGAUACAUCAACACAUUUGUGAAAACACAAAUUUAGCUUCAAAUUCAGGUGUUGGUUCAAGUUCUUCUACACUUCCUGUUCAAACUAGAGAUGUUGCUCUUCAGAUUAAUCCUCCUCUUACUAGUACAAAAAGUACUUUAACUACUGAAAGUAGCACAGUAGAUUCUGCAAAUCAAUGUGUUAUUCCAGUGUACACAACUGAAAAGAAAAUUGGUACAGAAAUUACUUUGAUGCCUUUGGAAGUUCAUUUGGAGAAUAAAAAAAAAGUUGAUGCUUCUACUAAUUGUGAACCUGAAGAACAUGUUUUUUUGAAAGAGUCAUCUUCACAGACUGUGGGACCUUUACCUGUGUUUACAUAUUCUGAAAAUUCAACCACUACAUCAGUAUCAAGCACUCCAGUAAGUGACAGCAUGUUUAUGGAUGAUAUGCUAUCUGAAGGAGAACUUAUUUUACCAUGGAAUUUGAGACUUCUACCUUUCAUUGAUAAAGGCAACAGCCACAAUUCAACUAAUGCAACUGAAGCUAGUGAUAUGAGUAGCAAGGAUUACUCUAUUAGUGAAGGAGAGAUUCCUCCAAAAUAUGUUUGCCUCCUAAAUGCUGAACAGCCAUCAUCUGCUCAGAGUUCAAAAGUCAAAAGUCUUUAAUCUGGACUCAUCAGGACUUAGGCGAUUCCGGAUUGCCGAAUUUUCCGGAUUAUAGGUCAUCAGUUUAAAUCUGUGAAAAAUAAAAGUGCAAAUCUAACACCAAGAUUUAGACCAGAGGACUCGCAAAUGACUGACAAUUUGCCUGCUGAUAGAGAUAUAGAAGUACAAACUAAGAAAUGUACAUCCACCUCCCAUUCAAC